AUCCCUAAAAUCAUUCCUCCUCGGCUCUUCCACUUUCUCUUCCUUAGUUUUUCACGGAUCAUGGCGUUUGAUGUCGAUGAUCAUGAACAACAGCAACAAAAGCAUCGCAGAAUGACAAUUUCUACUCUCACAACUACAAAGAUCAGCGGGAUAUUUGGUUUUCUCCAUUGAUGUUAGAAUGAUUUUUCAAUUUCAGCUGCAUUUGUUGGGGGAUAAUAGUUUGGCGUGUUGAUGCUAAUGGUGCUUCUUUGUUUUGCUUGAGCCUCCAAUUCCAUCCACAGAAUUGUAGUAAUGCCGAAAUCCGUCAAAUCUGGCAAAAACCAGCAACGAAGGGAUCACCAAAAAAACCAAUCAGAGACAACCAAAGAAGUGGUUGUGGUUUAGAAUUCACAAUUGAGGAUGGCCGUCCAAGGUGUUUGAUAUACAAUGUAUUGUAAGGCGACGAAGAAUCAUUGUGGAUAUAUGGCAGGUCACCAAGAGAAGCCAAGUAGAAAGAAGGGCACAAGUGAAAGAUCAAAGAUCUAAUGCAAUUUGUGAAGUGGACCUCCACGAAGUUGAGAAGCUUCAAGUUCACAACCUAAUGGAGAUAGCACAGCUAGCCUGGUUCAAUAUAUUGGCUAAUCUAGCUACCACUUAAUUCUCCAACUGAUUCACUCCGUAUAGAGCGCCUAAAUACUCCUUCAUGAGCUGCUUCAAAUUUUCCCAUUUAGCUCAGUUCUGGCACUUGAAGACAUUACGUGGAGUGGAGGAAUUUUUCUGCUGCUUUGGGUGCAUUUUCUAGGCAAUCUGGAAGACCAAUAAUGAGUUGAUUUUUGACAGGAAAAUCGUUAAUACUUCCCAGAUUAUUCAGGAGGCUCAUUAUUGGUUCUGUCUGUCAGACUCCAAUUUCUGACGAUAACCAGCUGAUGCAUGCUGUAACAACUGAAGUUCCUGGGUGGUCUGCACCUCAAGCAUAUCCAUUUUCUAACAGGCCCUGUAACUGUUCUUUCAAGUGCACUGUUGUCCCUAUCCGCAGUAAACUUCUGAAUAUUAGAAUCAUCACAAAACAAGUACUACUAUGUCUACAAAAUUUACGGACUUGGCAUUAUAUUUGACUUUUCAUUGGAAUGAAGUCCUGUAGUACUUACUAGCAGAAAUAAGAACAGUCUUUGGUCCUUCUCAUUGAAAGGAAUUUAGGCGCGUAGGGUUGAUAAGGAAGAACCAGUAAAAGCUUAUAUCCGUUUCAGGAAAAGGGAUACUAUUGGAUUUUCGAUUUGGCCUGGAAUUUGAGUCCGUGUGCUUUAAUUUGUUUGCUCUUAAGAUUCACAGUUAUAAACACAGCUUUUCACCUACACGACAGAUACUCAUGAAGCUGAUGAGAAGUCUCUUGUAGCUGCAUCCAAGUUGGACUUGACAGAUUCCUCAGGAGGAGGCUGCCAAAUCGGUGGGCCUGGAGUUGAGAUAAAGACUGUUUCAAGAGUACUUCCUACGCUACACUUGUAAGAGAAAUGCUCCACUUUUGUAUAUCCUUUCAGUGGUACCACGCACUACUGCCGUACUUGAGCUUUAAAUGUGGAACUCGGCUAUUAACUAGAGUAUAUGAAGCUGGGUGACUUGAAAUAUGCAUUGCGGCGCAAAUUCUGCAAUUAAGGCAAAUCUGCAUCGUUACAUGGAAACUCUCAUUCUGUCUCAAAAUUUGUUUCAUUAACCAAUACAUGCCCAAAAUUUUCAGUUUAUCAUUGGCGUGUCACGGAUUCGCUUCUCAAUCCAAAAUAUCUCAUAGUAAUAAGUGGCGACUCAACCCCUGCCCGCAAUGCCAAAUCUGUCUUUCUAAUAGGAGUACUCGGUGGCUCAAAAUCCUGAGAAAAUGCUCUCGAGUCUCGACUAUAUCCUAACGGUGUAACCAAGGUGUAAUUAACUUGAAGUAGAAAGGUAAGGAAUUAGAUAUAUUUGAAAAAUGCAAGGGUGCAUGAUGGUUGGCAUAUAGCCUGAAUGUACGAGUUUAUGAAGAAAAGCAGAAAUAUCUUUUAAUUGGUUGCUCUGUGAGAACAUGGCUAACUGUGUCGUGUGUAUUGCUAAUUGCGAACCAAGUGGAAAAAAGAAGAAGAAGUGGAACCUGAAAUUUUGGCUUUAAAGUUGAGAGUGGAGUCCUGCAUGAAUUGGGCACUUUCUAGUGAUUCACGAAUUGUCAUUUGCUAUAAUUACAUAGCAUAACAAAGAUUAUAAGAAUCUUUUUUUAUUACAGAGAAGGUGCUUUUAGCUUCGCGCGAAUUGUCGACUUACAAAUCUUUUUUUAUACUAUUUAUUUACGUCUUCAGAA